rnacentral:rRNA from 1 species
GACGAACGCUGGCGGCGUGCCUAAUACAUGCAAGUUGAGCGCUGAAGGUUGGUACUUGUACCAACUGGAUGAGCAGCGAACGGGUGAGUAACGCGUGGGAAACCUCCUUUUAGGGGGGGGACAACUUUGGAAACGAAUUGUUAUUCCGGAUUAAAAACUUUAAACACAGGUUUAAGGUUUGAAGAAGGCAUUGCAUUACCCCAAGGUUGUUCCGCGUUUUAUUAGCUAGGUGGUGAGGUAAAGGCCCACCAAGGCGAUGAUACAUAGCCGACCUGAGAGGGUGAUCGGCCACAUUGGGACUGAGACACGGCCCAAACUCCUACGGGAGGCAGCAGUAGGGAAUCUUCGGCAAUGGACGAAAGUCUGACCGAGCAACGCCGCGUGAGUGAAGAAGGUUUUCGGAUCGUAAAACUCUGUUGGUAGAGAAGAACGUUGGUGAGAGUGGAAAGCUCAUCAAGUGACGGUAACUACCCAGAAAGGGACGGCUAACUACGUG